GAACGGGAAGCCUUUUAUUGAAGCUUCGGCAGAUUUAGCUGGUUUCUAGUGGCGGACGGGUGAGUAACGCGUGGGUAACCUGCCUUGUACAGGGGGAUAACAGUCAGAAAUGACUGCUAAUACCGCAUAAGCGCACAGGACCGCAUGGUCCGGUGUGAAAAACUCCGGUGGUAUAAGAUGGACCCGCGUUGGAUUAGCUAGUUGGCAGGGUAACGGCCUACCAAGGCAACGAUCCAUAGCCGGCCUGAGAGGGUGAACGGCCACAUUGGGACUGAGACACGGCCCAGACUCCUACGGGAGGCAGCAGUGGGGAAUAUUGCACAAUGGGGGAAACCCUGAUGCAGCGACGCCGCGUGAAGGAAGAAGUAUCUCGGUAUGUAAACUUCUAUCAGCAGGAAAGAAAAUGACGGUACCUGACUAAGAAGCCCCGGCUAACUACGUGCCAGCAGCCGCGGUAAUACGUAGGGGGCAAGCGUUAUCCGGAUUUACUGGGUGUAAAGGGAGCGUAGACGGAUGGACAAGUCUGAUGUGAAAGGCUGGUGCUCAACCCCGGGACUGCAUUGGAAACUGCCCGUCUUGAGUGCUCGGAGAGGUAAGCGGAAUUCCUAGUGUAGCGGUGAAAUGCGUAGAUAUUAGG
rnacentral:rRNA from 1 species